ACUGUGCAUCAUCAAAGUUCUGCAACAUCAGUACCUCCAUCCUUUAUUUGUUCAGGCCGUGCUAGCCAGAUUGUUUCCAGUGAACUGCCUAUAGUACCAGAAUCCAAAGAGCAACAGAUGACAAGUGUAGAAGAGUCACUGCCUAUAGUACCAGAAUCCAAAGAGCAACAGCUGACAAGUGUUGAAGAGUCACAACCUUUGGAAUCUACAACCAUGGGAAGAGAAGGGUCACCAAACCAUGGUAAAUCCGUGGUAGGAC
rnacentral:lncRNA from 1 species